GACGAACGCUGGCGGCGGGCUUAACACAUGCAAGUCGAACGGAAAGGCCCUGCUUUUUUGGGGUGCUCGAGUGGCGAACGGGUGAGUAACACGGGAGUAACCUGCCCUUUACUUUGUGAUAACUUCAGGAAACUGGGGCUAAUACCGGAUAGGAGCUCCUGCUGCAUGGUGGUGGUUGGAAAGUUUCGGCGGUUGGGGAUGGACUCGCGGCUUAUCAGCUUGUUGGUGGGGUAGUGGCUUACCAAGGCUUUGACGGGUAGCCGGCCUGAGAGGGUGACCGGCCACAUUGGGACUGAGAUACGGCCCAGACUCCUACGGGAGGCAGCAGUGGGGAAUAUUGCACAAUGGGCGGAAGCCUGAUGCAGAAACGCCGCGUGCGGGAUGACGGCCUUCGGGUUGUAAACCGCUUUCGCCUGUGACGAAGCGUGAGUGACGGUAAUGGGUAAAGAAGCACCGGCUAACUACGUG
rnacentral:rRNA from 1 species